GGGGGGGAGGGGGCGGGGUCAGGGGAGGAGGCGGAGUCUGUUAAAUAAGCGGGGGCGGGGCCAGGCGGCUGUCAAUCAAAUGGAGCUGUCAAUCAAACGGGGCUGUCAAUCAAGUGGAGCUGUCAAUCAAACGGGGCUGUCAAUCAAAUUGAGCUGUCAAUCACCGGCUGCUGUCAAUCAGGGGCUGUUAUUUGAUGAGCUGUCAAUCAAAUGGGGCUGUCAAUCAAACGGAGCUGUCAAUCACGCGCUGCCUGGAGUGUCAAUCAAGUGGAGGUGUCAAUCAAAUGGAGCUGUCAAUCAAACGGGGCUGUCAAUCAAACCUAUCCUUCAAAUUGACCUGUCAAUCAAAGGGAUAUCGAUCAAUUUGAGCUGUCAAUCAAAGAGCUAUCAAUCAAUUGGAGCUGUCAAUCAAUUCUAUCCAUCACAUAGAGCUGUCAAUCAAACACAAGGGAUCAAAUCGAGCUGUCAAUCAAAGACACUCACCGGCCCCUCCUCACCGGGGGGGGUCUCUUGCUGUGGGGGGGGGCUCCUCGUCCGCCGCCCCCCCC
rnacentral:lncRNA from 1 species